rnacentral:rRNA from 1 species
AACGAACGCUGGCGGCAGGCCUAACACAUGCAAGUCGAACGCCGUAGCAAUACGGAGUGGCAGACGGGUGAGUAACACGUGGGAACGUACCUUUCGGUUCGGAAUAACUCAGGGAAACUUGAGCUAAUACCGGAUACGUGCGAGAGCAGAAAGAUUUAUCGCCGAAAGAUCGGCCCGCGUCCGAUUAGCUAGUUGGUGAGGUAAUGGCUCACCAAGGCGACGAUCGGUAGCUGGUCUGAGAGGAUGAUCAGCCACACUGGGACUGAGACACGGCCCAGACUCCUACGGGAGGCAGCAGUGGGGAAUAUUGGACAAUGGGCGCAAGCCUGAUCCAGCCAUGCCGCGUGAGUGA